rnacentral:sRNA from 1 species
CUGCACACGGGGAGUGGGCUUCCCUUCUCUUUUCCUUGCAGGAUCAUACCAGUGGGCCAGUUUUGACUUGGUGGGGAGGAGGCAUGAACACCUGAGACUGUGCAGCGAUUCUUUGACACAGAGGCCUUUCUCCCUGUGCAGAUGUGUGGGGUGAUGCUGUCUGGAAGUGAGGAGUCCACCCCCUCCAUCAUUUACCACUGUGCCCUCAGAGGCCUGGAGCGCCUCCUGCUCUCUGAGCAGCUCUCCCGCCUGGAUGCAGAAUCGCUGGUCAAGCUGAGUGUGGACAGAGUGAACGUGCACAGCCCGCACCGGGCCAUGGCGGCUCUGGGCCUGAUGCUCACCUGCAUGUACACAGGAAAGGAGAAAGUCAGUCCGGGUAGAACUUC